GGGCCCGCACAAGCGGCGGAGCAUGCGGAUUAAUUCGAUGCAACGCGAAGAACCUUACCAAGGCUUGACAUGAACCGGUAAUACCUGGAAACAGGUGCCCCGCUUGCGGUCGGUUUACAGGUGGUGCAUGGUUGUCGUCAGCUCGUGUCGUGAGAUGUUGGGUUAAGUCCCGCAACGAGCGCAACCCUCGUUCUAUGUUGCCAGCACGUUAUGGUGGGGACUCAUAGGAGACUGCCGGGGUCAACUCGGAGGAAGGUGGGGACGACGUCAAAUCAUCAUGCCCCUUAUGUCUUGGGCUUCACGCAUGCUACAAUGGCCGGUACAAAGGGUUGCGAUACUGUGAGGUGGAGCUAAUCCCAAAAAGCCGGUCUCAGUUCGGAUUGGGGUCUGCAACUCGACCCCAUGAAGUCGGAGUCGCUAGUAAUCGCAGAUCAGCAACGCUGCGGUGAAUACGUUCCCGGGCCUUGUACACACCGCCCGUCAAGUCACGAAAGUUGGUAACACCCGAAGCCGGUGGCCUAACCCCUUGUGGGAGGGAGCUGUCGAAGGUGGGACUGGCGAUUGGGACU
rnacentral:rRNA from 1 species